CACUACAGCCCCACUUGAAAACCAAUAAAGACUGUGGCACCCAAAGAAGAACGCGAGCAGAUGGAACAUUGGAAUCAUACAGCAAUGUAAGAUCCUGAGAAAUAUCAUUGGGUCAAAAUGGUGCGGUCUAGAGGAAAACAUUCUCAGAGAUGUAUAAGUUCUACCGUAAAAGUUGAGAUAGCACCAUUACCACAUGAAGCUGUCAUUAUCGCUACGAUUUCCAGCUCAGCAAAUCACCAUUAGAGCCCUGGAACUUUUAAGCCCUCAUUUUUAGCUAAGACAUUAUUAUUUGAUUUUUUAAUUUUAUUUGUUCCCUUCUACUACAGAAGAUCCAAUAAAUAAAAGCCCCGUUCGUGAUCACCUUUAUUUCCCGUUUAACCUUUUCUAUCCAUUCAGCUGAUGUGUUGCUAAUUAUGGUCUCAUUCUGCCGCCGGUAUAUGUAUGUAGGAGGAUGUAUGCAUUGCUUUCCUUCCAGUUCAUCUCAGCGACUUUUACCAAGCUUAUAGUCAUAGAUAAAUCAGUGUUUUAAAAUCGGAUAGCUUUGUAAAAUAUGUACACACGUAGCUACAUAUAUCUAGCUACCAUAGAAAAGAUAGAAAACGGGAUUUUUAUUCGGCAGUGAAAGUUUUAAAUUUUGUACACAUGGCCAUUCAUCAAUUAGGGAUACAAAAAUAAGUCAAUCUGAGUGUGUUAAUCGCAUGUAAAUAUGUAUUUUACUAAAACGUACGCGUAUGUAAAUACAUAAGUGUACAAGGAUACAAUUAUUGUGAUGAUGAUGACAACGAAAAGGUCAUUACAUUAAAAAAUGGACGAAAGGAAAUGAUGUAAAUUCAACCUAAAAGUUUACACUAUUAAGGCAUAUUAACAUAAUAUAUGUAUUUCAAUUCCAAUAUUUAUCAGUGCAUAGCUAAAAAAUUACAAUUUAUUUGUAUGGUUCAUUAAAGAAUACAUUUUUAACUCGUAAAGUUCCGGAUAUUAAAGUGAUUUUCGUCUUCCUAAAAAUAUGUAUACUUUAAAAUUUCGUACUCGUCUCUAUGGUUAACGGUGUUUGUGCAGUGUUUUACGCGAAUGUCGCCUAGAGUACUUCAACUUGGACUUUAUUACAUAUACAUAUAUACAUAUGUAGAUCGUAUAAAUACAUUAAAAGAUGAAUUCUACAACUCUAUCAUGAUGGUUUAGAUUUCGCGGAUAUUUCUUUGAAAGCAAUAAACAUGAAGGGAUUCUUGGAAAAAUAUACUCAAAAUCACAGUUAACACA